UUCUGCUUUUUUUUUUUUUUUUGAAGAGUGGGGAUUGUUCUUGUUUAGCAUUAAACCAAUAGGAAUUCCUCAAUGAAAAAUAAAUACAUAUUUGGUACCUGGCAAGGCAAAUUUUUGCUUCAAUAGGCUUAAUACACUGCAGCUUUUGGUCUGGAAACUGGAGAACUCUCCAAGCUGAAUGCCCGCAGCACUGUGUUCUUGAAAUAUGCAUUGCCUCUUGAAUACACUUAAAAAUCCAUAGACAUUAUGGUUUUAGUACUGCGCUUGGUAAACAUGCAUUUUCAAAAGCCAGCUUUUUAUAUCCCACCACUGCAAUGCUUUUUUGUUGCCAGUUUCUCUACUCCUCUGGCCACCAAAUCGUCACAGCAGGAAGCUACACAGAUUUAGUAGAUAAAUAUGAAAUCAGGCUAAUAGCAGGUGAAAUUAUUUAUAUAGGGACUGGCACCAGUCACAGAGUCCUUGUCACAGCAUCUGGGACUCUCGCGGUCACUUGUAGCGUGGCACUGCACCACAGGGACACUCACAUUACUCUGCUUUUCAAGCUAGGCAGCUGAAAAAGGCUGGUAUUUUAACAUCAGGCAUUGUGGCCAGACUCAAAAGGGAAGUCUGGCCUGGAGAAACAAACUCCCAGAGCCAAGGUGAGGCCAACAGUGAAGCUGCUUUCAUUUUAAUAGGGAUAGGAAGUCACCUCAGCAAGCAGCCAAGGAUAGAUACAUCAGGCUGACCUGGGAACACUGUAACUUCCAUUACUGUAAGUUCAUUUCCUCUCAAACCUGCUGGCAGGCCCAUGGAACUGGAGAAGGCUAGGCUGCAGUCCUGGCCACAGCAGGUGCUGUGCAGGCCCUGCUGCACCACAGUUCUUGGACUUAUUCAGGAUAUGUUGACUACGGCAGAAGAUCAUCCAACCUCCGGAAGUGUCCAAAUUUGCAAGACAUGUAAUUGCCCAGAUGAUAAAGCUGGAUGCUGUGGCAAAAGGCAUAAUGGAAGGAAUGUGACUCACUUCUCACCUGUCUUUCCCAAAGUGUGCUGGCAGCCAAGUAUGACAUUUGAGACAGUUUCAAAAGACUGUUUCUCUUCUCAAAUAAAAUGAAGCUUUAUUCAGAUACUCCUUUUAAUUCUGAAGUCUGAAAGAGGCCAUGUACUUAACAUCCUCAGAAGCUGGGCUGGACUGGAAUGGAAAUGGAAAUACUGGAGCUAGCACAUGUGUUGCUACUUCUUUUG
rnacentral:lncRNA from 1 species